rnacentral:rRNA from 1 species
GAUGAACGCUGGCGGCAUGCCUAAUACAUGCAAGUCGAACGAGAGGAAGGAAAGCUUGCUUCCCUGAAUCUAGUGGCGAACGGGUGAGUAACACGUAGGUAACCUGCCCAUGUGCCCGGGAUAACUUCUGGAAACGGAUGCUAAAACCGGAUAGGUAGCAGACAAGCAUUUGACUGCUAUUAAAGUGGCUAAGGCCAUGAACAUGGAUGGACCUGCGGUGCAUUAGCUAGUUGGUGAGGUAACGGCCCACCAAGGCGACGAUGCAUAGCCGGCCUGAGAGGGCGGACGGCCACAUUGGGACUGAGACACGGCCCAAACUCCUACGGGAGGCAGCAGUAGGGAAUUUUCGUCAAUGGGGGGAACCCUGAACGAGCAAUGCCGCGUGAGUGAGGAAGGUCUUCGGAUCGUAAAGCUCUGUUGUAAGAGAAAAACGACAUUCAUAGGGAAUGAUGAGUGAGUGAUGGUAUCUUACCAGAAAGUCACGGCUAACUACGUGCCAGCAGCCGCGGUAA